GCCUUAAUAGCUCAGCUGGCAGAGCGCUUGCCUAGUAAGCAAGAGGUCCACGGUUCGAUUCCGUGUUGAGGCA